rnacentral:rRNA from 1 species
GAUGAACGCUGGCGGCGUGCUUAACACAUGCAAGUCGAACGAAACACCUUAGUUUAUUUUCUUCGGAACUGAGGAUUUGGGGAUUGAGUGGCGGGCGGGUGAGUAACGCGUGGGUAACCUGCCCUGUACAGGGGGAUAACAGUCAGAGAUGACUGCUACUACCGCAUAAGACGACAGCACCGCAUGGUGCAGGGGUAAAAACUCCGGUGGUACAGGAUGGUCCCGCGUCUGAUUAGCUGGGUGGUGAGGUAACGGCGCACCAAGGCGACGAUCAGUAGCCGGCUUGAGAGAGUGAACGGCUACAUUGGGAAUGAGACCCGGACCAAUCUCCUACGGGAGGCAGCAGUGGGGAAUAUUGCACAAUGGGGGAAACCCUGAUGCAGCGACGCCGCGUGAGUGAAGAAGUAUUUCGGAAUGUAAAGCUCUAUGAGCAGGGAAGAAAAUGACGGUACCUGACAAAGAAGCCCCGGCUAACUACGUG